CGUCUGAGACAGGUGCUGCAUGGCUGUCGUCAGCUCGUGUUGUGAAAUGUUGGGUUAAGUCCGCAACGAGCGCAACCCUUAUCCUUUGUUGCCAGCGGUCCGGCCGGGAACUCAAAGGAGACUGCCAGUGAUAAACUGGAGGAAGGUGGGGAUGACGUCAAGUCAUCAUGGCCCUUACGACCAGGGCUACACACGUGCUACAAUGGCGCAUACAAAGAGAAGCGACCUCGCGAGAGCAAGCGGACCUCAUAAAGUGCGCCGUAGUCCGGAUUGGAGUCUGCAACUCGACUCCAUGAAGUCGGAAUCGCUAGUAAUCGUGGAUCAGAAUGCCACGGUGAAUACGUUCCCGGGCCUU
rnacentral:rRNA from 1 species